rnacentral:rRNA from 1 species
AUGGUUCAAGAAACAAGCAAAGAACCGACUACUAGCAGCAUAGGGGGGAGAGAAAGCUUCUUUGAUCAUUCAGUCAGCGAGCCAGCGAGUCCAGAAACAGGGGGAGAGAAUGCUGAACAUGGAGACAAAAAUACCGAGGCAUACUCCACACCGAAACCUCCUGAUGAAACGAUGAAGUUUGAUAAUUUUGAGGAAGCUUAUGAACACUACAGGCAAUAUGCACAGAGACAUGGGUUUGGAAUGAGACUGGAAUACAGAAAAACAAUCAAAGACAAUACUGUAAGUAGAGUCCUCCUGGUUUGUGGGAAAUAUGGCAAGCCAAAAACAAACAAGGAAGAGUUAGAGGAUGUGCAGGACCCAAAAGGCAUCGUGAAGAAGAGGAAAAGAGGGAAGGUUGUGAGGUCGGGAUGUCCGGCCCACCUUUACAUCACCCACACGGAUGCGUGGUGGAGAGUCAAACGCUUCAACGACGACCACAACCACCCUCUAAUAAGAAAGCCGUCCUUGACAAAGUUCCUAUCAUCACAUAGGAACAUUCCAAAAGAUGAGCAGGACUUCUUGAAGAUAUUGCACGGAUGCAACAUAGAGACAGCCAGACAGAUGCAACUAAUGGAAUGGUUCUACGGGAAUCCUAAAGAUGUACCAUACACAACAAAGGACAUCGCAAACCAGCGAGCUAAAUUCCAGAUGGAGUACCGCCAUGCUGAUGUGGGGAGCACAAUCUCGUACUUCCAAGAUAUGAAGGCACAAGAUCCAGAUUUCUAUUGGAGAAUAAAGCUUGAUGAUGAGGAUAGAGCGUAUGGCCAGACUGACAACGAGCAUUUCCAUUGGUUGUGGGAGAACAGGAAGUGUUGGGUCCCGGUAUACUACAUGCAUGACUUUUUCCCGUUCUUGCAGACCACGGCAAGAAGUGAGGGAUUUAACUCCGUGCUCAAGAAGUAUGUCAACCCAAACAACUCACUGGUCGAAUUCGCACAACAGUACACUGCGAUACAGGAUAAGGUGAUGGCUAGCGUGUCAAAAGAGCAGUUGGAAACAGUGUACAAAGAAACCGAAAUGUACUCCAUGAACCCGCUGGAGAUGCAGGUGCGGGGGCUAUACACACAUAACUUGUUUUCCAAGUUCCAGGUGGAGAUGAAGGUGAAAUAAGCAUACAGAUGUGACGCAUUGGAUGAUGGUACUUUCAAGGCCAGCUCAGUACGCGGGAUAAUACCGAAAUAUGGAGACAGGGACUACCAUGUGCAAGCAAACAUGGUUGAAGAGACAUACUCGUGUAGUUGCUGCAAGUUUGAUCGUGACGGGCUACUGUGCACGCAUGUACUACGAGUUAUGGACCAAAUUGGGGUAUACGAGAUACCUGAAAAGUACAUCCUAAAGAGGUGGACCUGGGAUCCAGAGGAGGAUCUUAUUCAACCUGAUUUCGAAUAGCCGACAGUUAAGAAGUCGAUGCCAGAGGAGGGGAAAAGCGUCAUGCGAUACACGUCAAUUCUUAAAGAAUUUAAGGCAUCGGUCAAAGAUGCUUGCCUAAUAGAUGACGGGACCAGAUUGGCAAGAAAACACCUGUAUAACUUCAAGGAGGAGCUUGAAAUCCUGAAGAAGAAUCAACUUAAAAAAGCAAGAAAGGAAAAGGAAGAAGCAAAAGGAUCGUUUCAAGGACAGCCGGAUCCCUGCUCGAUACAUGUGGGGCGGAUGAAUGAAGACAACCCUGUCACACAUCACCAAAACGCCCCCGAUGCAAGACAUCUGGAGAACCCAGCCACACAGCAAACAAGUGCCACUAAUGUGAAUCAACAGGAGAACACCGCCACACAACAAGAAAGUGCUACUAAUGUGCAGCGACAGGGUAACCCUGCCACACAGCAAGAAAGUGUGCGGGUGACGAUACAUGCUAGCAAAAACAAUCACGCUUUUGUCAUCCAGCCCCCACAUCCUGAUGCAGCUCCAUCCUCAAACGCAAAGUUGAUACUAGACCCUCCAAGACUGUAA